rnacentral:tRNA from 1 species
ACCUUCUUAGUAUCAAAUAGUACAAGUGAUUUCCAUUCACACGGCCUCGGUUCAAGCCCGGGAGAAGGUA